GUAGGUGGCAAGCGUUGUCCGGAAUUAUUGGGCGUAAAGCGCGCGCAGGCGGUUCUUUAAAUCUGAUGUGAAAGCCCACGGCUCAACCGUGGAGGGUCAUUGGAAACUGGAGAACUUGAGUACAGAAGAGGAAAGCGGAAUUCCACGUGUAGCGGUGAAAUGCGUAGAGAUGUGGAGGAACACCAGUGGCGAAGGCGGCUUUCUGGUCUGUAACUGACGCUGAGGCGCGAAAGCGUGGGGAGCAAACAGGGAUUAGAUACCCUGGUAGUCCACGCCGUAAACGAUGAGUGCUAAGUGUUAGGGGGUUUCCGCCCCCUUAGUGCUGCAGCUAACGCAUUAAGCACUCCGCCUGGGGGGUUACGGCCGCAAGGCUG
rnacentral:rRNA from 1 species